rnacentral:rRNA from 1 species
GACGAACGCUGGCGGCGUGCUUAACACAUGCAAGUCGAACGGAAAGGCCCUGCUUUUGUGGGGUGCUCGAGUGGCGAACGGGUGAGUAACACGUGAGUAACCUGCCCUUGACUUUGGGAUAACUUCAGGAAACUGGGGCUAAUACCGGAUAGGAGCCCCUGCUGCAUGGUGGGGGUUGGAAAGUUUCGGCGGUUGGGGAUGGACUCGCGGCUUAUCAGCUUGUUGGUGGGGUAGUGGCUUACCAAGGCUUUGACGGGUAGCCGGCCUGAGAGGGUGACCGGCCACAUUGGGACUGAGAUACGGACCAGACGCCUACGGGAGGCAGCAGUGGGGAAUAUUGCACAAUGGGCGGAAGCCUGAUGCAGCAACGCCGCGUGCGGGAUGACGGCCUUCGGGUUGUAAACCGCUUUCGCCUGUGACGAAGCGUGAGUGACGGUAAUGGGUAAAGAAGCACCGGCUAACUACGUG